UUAUCAUCAUCAGUGACUUAAUUCUUCCUCUUCUUUUUCCUGCCUCCUCUUUUCUCUGGAGUUCAUUGGCUGAUCAUCUUACUCGUGGCACCUGUCUAUGCCAGGACUGGACCUUCCUCACCGCAAGUGGCAAGCUGUUCCACAGGAAGGACCAUAGAAAGAGAAGGCUGCCUCCCCUCGGGCCUUGGGCCACUAGGAGGCCAGAGUCUAAGGAUCUGAGUGGCUGUGAUGCAGCACUAUCAUUUCGAUGUUCAGAUGACCCUUGUAACAGCAGUGUUUUGAUACCUACAACUAGACCAACUAAACAGCUAUAGUCUAGAGUACAAUAGCUCCAUCUCCUGUUCAUCACUAUUCAAAACAGUCUUUUGUUUGAAAGACAGAAUAAUGAGAAAAUACAAAGGCAUAAUUGUGCUCCCUUUGGACCUGAGAAAACAGAAAAAGACUAACUCACUGUGUGUGAGUUAUGACACCUCAGUUUGGAGGUCACAUAGAUACCUAAAACAGGAAGACGAGUUUCUAUACUCGGGCCAUACAGC